AGAGACGACCAUGUUAUCCCAAAGACUGUAAAUAAAGACGGACAGUCCAUCUGCGCUUCCUCCCACUGUCCAGAAAUGAAGCCAAAAACUCCUCGAUGCAAAAACUGCCAUCUCUAAGCAUUUGGAGCCUGAGUCUGCGCGGUAGCGAUCGGGGGGGUGGAUCCACGCAAACUAAAGGGUCUAUGUUGUUCUUUGGAAACCGACGCGUUGUUCAGCAGCUUCUGUUGCUGUUUGCACCCUCGAUGAAGUCAGAGGCCUGUUUCUCCCUGAGACCUCCGCUCCAUGAAUCAGCCUGUUUCCAAGGGGCUAUAUGUGAUCUACCCAGACUCCACCCCCUUGCCUGAAUGUCUUCCUUCUGUCGUGAACACGUCUGACUCGGACGAUCUCCUGCUGCGUUCUUCAUUAGUGAAUCUCUCCAGACGUUCUCCAAACAUUACAGUUUAAAAACGCC